UUAAUGUAGAAGAACACACCUGACAUCCAACCCCAUUUAAGAUCUUUGUGAUAAACUGGGACACUUUUUAUGUAAUGUUUCACUGCUAUGAGAACCAAAAACCAAAUUCCAUUUGAAUGGAUUUCUCAAAUCUUGGACAAAUAAAACCAAAACUACACAGAUGCCUCUCGAGAAACACUACAUCCCAAACUACGACCUCCCUGCUUGACAUCUCAUAACACAGACAGACUGCUAAUCACCACUGAAGCUGAGACUAAAGGCACUCAGCAGCCGUCAUCUGGAGAGGCUCCAACCUCUAAAGUACCAAACAAAGUAUAUACUUGUGUCUCUGGAGGCCACAGUACACGUUACAGCAGACAGGUUGAUCCAGGUUGAAGACAUUAUUUCCACUGAGGGACGGAGUUCAGUCAGUAUGUGUGAUGAUUGUUUUUAGAGGUAUUAGGAGCUGUGGCAUGAUUCUGGCUUUGGGCGGCUGACAUAGUGCAGGCCACAUCGCAGGUGUGUGUGUUUUUUUUCUG